rnacentral:rRNA from 1 species
UACGGGGGGGGCAAGCGUUGUUCGGAAUUACUGGGCGUAAAGGGCUCGUAGGCGGCCAACUAAGUCAGACGUGAAAUCCCUCGGCUUAACCGGGGAACUGCGUCUGAUACUGGAUGGCUUGAGUGUGGGAGAGGGAUGCGGAAUUCCAGGUGUAGCGGUGAAAUGCGUAGAUAUCUGGAGGAACACCGGUGGCGAAGGCGGCACUCCGUGGGACCGGUAGUGACGCUGAUGCGC